rnacentral:lncRNA from 1 species
CCCACCCCCACCUCCAUAGCAGCUGCCUCCACAAACCUGGUGGCCCAGCCCGGCAGCUGCCACCCACAGGGGAUCUGGGGCGUAGCCCACCCACCUCUCAGGCUGAACGCUGUGCUUGCCGUGGCCUGCAGGGAUUGGUCAGGAUUUGGUCCCAACUAGGGCGACCACCUGUUGUUGUCCUUCUCCAGUCCUGCCCUAGAAGCAGAGUGAGAAGAGACACUCAGCCCCCAAGGCUAGCACACAGGACCGGAACCCACUUCCCCCAGGAAGGGGUCUGUGUGAGAAGCGUGUCUGAUGUGUGAGAUGGCCGUCUGAGUCACAAAUUCCUGCUUCGUGAGGAGCCUGGCCUCAACAUGGCCACGGGGGACCUGGAGGUGCUGGACAGGGGUCUGGGCUGCCCCGAGGCCAUGGAGGAGCUGACCAAGUCAGUGGAGAGAUCCAGGGAAGAAUCACAGGAGGAGGAGGAGGCCGAAGGUAGUGAGAAGGCAGAAAGUAAAGAAGAGACGAGCAGCCAGGUGCAGGUGCAGGUGCAGGUGCAGGGGCCGGCUGAGGAGGAGCAGGCCCUGGAUGGGAUCGGGGACGGUGCCAGGAAGCCCUCCAAGGUGAAGGCAGAGAAGGAGCACUUGGCCGACAAGGGGGGCUCAGGAAAGGAGAGAGGGAAGACAGCUGCAGCUCCGAAGAGUGCCCCAGCUAGGAAGAAAACCAAGGGCCAGUCCCAGCCCCAGGUGAAGCCACAGCCCCGGGCACUGGGGCCCACGUUCGAUGAGCUGCCUUGGGGAGAGAUCACCCUCAACAAGUGCCUGGCGCUGGCCUCAGUUGUGGCUGUCCUCAGCAUGGCCUUCCAGGUGUUCCAGGAUGUCAUUGAUGGGGAGGAGGAGGGCCCUGAGGCUGCCCCUGCCCUGUGGGCCUGGCCAGGCAGCAGUGCCCCGAGGGACAGCAGACCCAAGCUGCCCAAGCCCAGAGACUGGGCUAAGGCGUCAGCACCAGCCGCACCUCCAGGGCCAAAGCCCCAGACUGCCGUGGUCAAGGAGGCCUCACCCAAAGAGCCGGACACAGAGGGGCAAGAAGCGGAGGGUAAGAAGCACCGGGAAGGAAAGCGGAGGGACUGAGGAGGCCCGAGGAGGCCCGUCCCUGGCUCCCAGAGGGCACAGCCCUGCGGCCCAGCAGCCGUCGGCCCUGGCCAUCCGGCCCGGCCAUUCCACCCCUGCUCCCUGCGACGUGUGGCCACCUGGGUUCAAAUCCUGUGUGAUUUGAGCAAGACACGUCCCUGAACCUCAGCUUCUCCUCCUAGAAAAUGAGGACUGACCACCCCUGAGCGACUGUGACCGCGGAGGGGAUUGCCGUGGGGGGGAUCGCCGCGGAGGGCUGCGGGGGAGUGUGCAGCCUCUCUGGGUGGCCGAGAGCUGCCACCAUGGCUGCGCCCCCAGCCCCUCCCCCAGCCUCCCGAGGCUGGUUCAGUUCCAGGUGCACGGUCUGAGUUUGUUAUAAAGUGAAUGUUUAAAAAUAAAAACACCGUCGUUCAGGC